rnacentral:rRNA from 1 species
GACGAACGCUGGCGGCGUGCUUAACACAUGCAAGUCGAACGGAAAGGCCCUGCUUUUGUGGGGUGCUCGAGUGGCGAACGGGUGAGUAACACGUGAGUAACCUGCCCGUGACUUUGGGAUAACUUCAGGAAACUGGGGCUAAUACCGGAUAGGAGCUCCUGCUGCAUGGUGGGGGUUGGAAAGUUUCGGCGGUUGGGGAUGGACUCGCGGCUUAUCAGCUUGUGGGUGGGGUAGUGGCUUACCAAGGCUUUGACGGGUAGCCGGCCUGAGAGGGUGACCGGCCACAUUGGGACUGAGAUACGGCCCAGACUCCUACGGGAGGCAGCAGUGGGGAAUAUUGCACAAUGGGCGGAAGCCUGAUGCAGCAACGCCGCGUGCGGGAUGACGGCCUUCGGGUUGUAAACCGCUUUCGCCUGUGACGAAGCGUGAGUGACGGUAAUGGGUAAAGAAGCACCGGCUAACUACGUG